rnacentral:rRNA from 1 species
CGUAGGUCCCGAGCGUGUCCGGAUUUACUGGGCGUAAAGCGAGCGCAGGCGGUUUAAUAAGUCUGAAGUUAAAGGCAGUGGCUUAACCAUUGUUCGCUUUGGAAACUGUUAAACUUGAGUGCAGAAGGGGAGAGUGGAAUUCCAUGUGUAGCGGUGAAAUGCGUAGGUAUAUGGAGGAACACCGGUGGCGAAAGCGGCUCUCUGGUCUGUAACUGACGCUGAGGCUCGAAAGCGUGGGGAGCAAACAGGAUUAGAUACCCUGGUAGUCCACGCCGUAAACGAUGAGUGCUAGGUGUUAGGCCCUUUCCGGGGCUUAGUGCCGCAGCUAACGCAUUAAGCACUCCGCCUGGGGAGUACGACCGCAAGGUUGAAACUCAAAGGAAUUGACGGGGGCCCGCACAAGCGGUGGAGUAUGUGGUUUAAUUCGACGCAACGCGAAGAACCUUACCAAGCCUUGACAUUGAUUGCUAUGGGUAGAGAUACCCAGUUCCUCUUCGGAGGACAAGAAAACAGGUGGUGCACGGCUGUCGUCAGCUCGUGUCGUGAGAUGUUGGGUUAAGUCCCGCAACGAGCGCAACCCCUAUUAUUAGUUGCCAGCAUUCAGUUGGGCACUCUAAUGAGACUGCCGGUGACAAACCGGAGGAAGGUGGGGAUGACGUCAAAUCAGCAUGCCCCUUAUGACUUGGGCUACACACGUGCUACAAUGGAUGGUACAACGAGUCGCAAACCCGCGAGGGCAAGCAAAUCUCUUAAAGCCAUUCUCAGUUCGGAUUGCAGGCUGCAACUCGCCUGCAUGAAGCCGG